rnacentral:rRNA from 1 species
CCUACGGGGAGCAGCAGGGAGGAAUAUUGGUCAAUGGGCGGAAGCCUGAACCAGCCAAGGCGCGGGAGGGAUGAAGGUUCGAUGGAUCGUAAACCUCUUUUAUAAGGGAAUAAAGUGUGGGACGUGUCCUAUUUUGUAUGUACCUUAUGAAUAAGGAUCGGCUAACUCCGUGCCAGCAGCCGCGGUAAUACGGAGGAUCCGAGCGUUAUCCGGUUUUAUUGGGUUUAAAGGGUGCGUAGGCGGCCUUUAAGUCAGCGGUGAACGUCUGUGGCUCAACCCUGGAAUAGCCGGUGAAACUGGGGGGCUUGAGUAUGUUUGAGGCAGGCGGAAUGCGUGGUGUAGCGGUGAAAUGCUUAGAUAUCACGCAGAACCCCGAUUGCGAAGGCAGCCUGCCAAGCCAUGACUGACGCUGAUGCACGAAAGCGUGGGGAUCAAACAGGAUUAGAUACCCGAGUAGUC